GGGCUACAAAGGGAAGAGAUGUUGUCCUCUUUAGGAUUUGCCCAGGUCAAUGUUGCUGCAGAGCCAGGAGAGGGAGCACAGACAUUGCUGCUUCUUGAUCAUACUUUUAGAGCAUCGACCCACAGUGUACAUCUCGUGUAUCUAUCAUGUGGACUGACAGAAAAACCUCUUCCAAAAACUCUCCUCUCUUCCCGCUAGAGGGAGAGCUCUCCCAGAAUACUCGUGGGAAACAGUUCCGCUGACUGACUCUUCUACUCUAAACAAACGUUUUUAGGAAUAUUUGCGUCUAGUGGUAAGGGUUACCCUGCAAUGAAAUGAUAUGUAAUGACAUGUAAAGAAGUAAAAUUUCUGUCAGGUCUUGGGGA